AAAAUAUUUUACGGGAAACUUCUCGCGGAAACUGUCCUCCGACCCAAAAGCCGUUCACAAAGCUACGGAGAGGAUCAGGAUGGAGAGGUCUCAAGCCGCUACUCCUCCAUCUCGAAGUUCCUUGCGGUGGGCGAUUCUUCGCCAGGCAAUCAAAGGCCCAGCCUCUCCUUCCGUCAAUGAUCAUUCAAUUGAAAGAUGCACCAAGGACGUAUCUAGGAAGACUCCAGGUGGCUUCAAACUGAUCUCAUGCUGUCCUUUAAAUGGAGAACUUCACUCACAGAAGAACAAAUUUCAACUUGGUACAAAUGAACUAUCUGUCUGCUAUACAUUGCCUAUUGACGGAGAGAAAGAACUUAUAAUGAUCCGGAGGUCGGACGAUUGUAUUGAUCUCGAUGAUUUUAAAAUCUCCAACAAGUUUGGCAUUGAUACCACAGGUUUAGUAUGUUGUUGGCCUUCGGAAGAGGUGUUAGCUUAUUUUUGUAUAAACAAUUGUGAAAUGUUCAGAUCCAAGAGAGUUCUUGAACUUGGAUCAGGAUAUGGAUUAGCAGGAUUGGCAAUUGCAGCAAGUACAGAUGCUUUUGAAGUUGUAAUCUCUGAUGGAAAUCCACAAGUUAUUGAUUAUGUUCAGCGCAACAUAAAUAUUAAUGCUAGCACUUUCGGAGAUACGAAAGUUAAAUCAAUGAUAUUGCAUUGGAUUGAAGAGCUCGACUCAGAAAUGCUGUACAACUUUGACAUUAUCAUUGCAAGCGAUUGCACAUUCUUCAAAGAAUUCCAUGAAUGCCUUGCUAAAACAGUCAAAUCAUUGUUGAAAAAUUCUGAGACCUCUGAAGCCAUUUUUCUCAGCCCAAAGAGGGGUGAUUCAUUGGACAAGUUUCUAGCAAAAAUCAAAGAUACGGGUCUAGAUUAUGAUCUGAUUGAGGACUAUGAUAGUAAAGUUUGGAAUCUUCAUCAGAAAUUUCGAAAUGAAAAUGACAGCUGGCCCAACUAUGAUGAAGAUCACUGUUAUCCUCUCCUCCUAAGGAUCACCUUGCAAAAACCAAAGACCGCUUCUACAACAAAGCCGCCCUGAAUUGGUGUGCUACAUGGUGACAACCAAAGCAAAAAUUGCAGAAGUUUUCUUCCACGAAUGCAACACGGCGCACCUAAUCACGAUGUACAUAACAAACUUUUCUGGCGUGGUUUUGGUAGAAACAUCAGUGGACUGAGGGACUGAACCUCUGUUUCCAUCAACUGUUUGCUCACUUGAAUAUCGACGAACGGAAUGGCUACGAGAAUGUCUGUUAAUUUGUAAUUCGACCUUGAGAGUGAAGUUUAUCUCCUAUGAUAAUGUCCAAACUAAAUUUACUUCUAGUUUUUGCUAGACUCAUUCAAAUUAUUUCGAGCACUUAACCUAAAGAAUUCGUCAUUAUACUUACUGACAGUUUGAUUGACUUGCAAAUGAUGUUGAUACUUUAACCACAACAUUUGCUCGAAAUCGGUGGGUAAAAAAUACCCCCUUAACAACUAUUUCAUGCAGUACUAGUCUAUGACACAACCCUUUCCUUCUCGCCUCCUCUGCUGCAAGAGUUGCAUCCAUCAUGCACUGGCUCCCCCCUUUCAAUCUACAGGCGACAUAUUUCACUUGUUUGUCAAGGUGGAAUCUCCAUGUACUUAAAGAAUGUUUCAAUUACUCGCUUCCGGUGAAGAUAGUCUUUGAUGUGAAGUUGUCCGUAAUAAAAGGGGAAUGCCUAACUUCACGCGGAAUUCACCUUGCUGCUGGUGUUGGGCAUUUCGUCGUCGUGGCAGCUCAUAAUAAUUUUGGUGGUUGUCCUAUGCAGUUUGAAACAUCAAAAUGCUGUUGUAACUCACCAUCAUCCUCUGAAUCAAAACCAGUGUGAAUUGCUCCGUUGGGAAUACGAGCACUUUUCUUACCUAUUGCGAGUGUGGUUGCCGACUUCGAGAAUCGUCCUGCAUUGCUAGUCAUCCCAACCAAUUUCAUUGACUGAAUUUCAUUCCUAAUUUUCACAUAAAAACGAAAAAUCUCGGUAGUAAGUUGCUCCAAUUGGGAAGUAAUACUCGAUUGAGCUGCACGAAGGGAAUCUAAGCUUCGAUCAUUGUCGAGAGCUGCCCGCUUACUGAUUUCCGCCAUUAACGCCCGUUGCCGAGCUUUGAUACCAAUCUGACAUGGAAGCUAUAAGGAAAUCAAGAAUAAGCAAGGAAAAACCUGCAAAAACAAAGAAUUAUAAAACCAGUGUUUGUACUGUAUAUUUCUUCAAUACCCUUUUCUCUUACGACUUUUCUUUUAUAUACUACUGCUGCUAACCAGAGAACGAUACUAUAGUAGUGAUAACAAUCCAAAAGCUGAGAAUAUAGGAAAGAUGCAUAAAACAUUAAUAAAGCAGAAAAUAGAGUAGUUGGGAAGAACUAAAUGGUUGUAAUGUGCCGCAGGAAUAAGAUAGUCCAUAUCAAUGGUCCUUUCACUUUUUGUAUGGGGCCAUUGUAAUCAUAACUAUCUUAAAUGUAUUCAAUUUAGUCUUUUAACCUCAAAUAUGAUUCAGAAUAGUUCAUUUAGUAAAUUGUUUUAUAUAAGUUUUGAAGAGUUGAGAGACUCUUAUAAAUAAGUAAUCUAGAGACUAUUUUGAACUUUUUUUUCUCGCAUCAUUUUAUAAAUUAAACUUUGAUGCAGAUUUUGAGUUAGCCUUCAAGUACUUGUGCUUAUAAACCGCUCAGUUUUCAGUAUCUACCCAUUUGAUCUGUAGUGUGAAUUAUGUGAUAAUUGCUAGAGUAAACCUUGUCAAAUUAUAGAGAAAGCUUUGUUUCUUUAUAUCAAGCAUGCUUAGUUUUAGUCAGAGCACCUUUUUCCUUAGUGAAUUUCAUCAUAAUACUUUUGCAAAGUCUUAAUGAUAUUGCAAGUCUGAACAGAGUUUUGGGAUGGCGUCUAUAUACUGCUAAAAUUUGAGUACGGCUAACUUUUAAGGAUUUUGGCCUUGAAAAUACCCUUAAAUGCUCAAAUAAAUGACUAUGAGAAAAUGCCUUUGUCGGUGAACUGAUAGGAGCUCAAUGACUUGUAUGUUGUACAAAAUUGGGGUGAAUAUUGAGAAUAAUUUAAGAGAAUAUGAAAAUUGGUUGAUAUGUAGAGAUUGUUGGCAUGAUUGCUUUAGCCUUUUGUUGAAAAAUUGAUGCAAGAUGGGAGUCAAUCUGUUUUGCCUUGGUGCUUGAGCAAUUGAACUAGGCUCGGGUGAACUUGGGUUUGCUCAGCCCAUCGAGAUCCUCUUUGCUCGAGGGUGUAUCUUCUCAUGCGAAGGAAGUGAUCGAUAGGGAUGGCCUUCUACUUAACCCUUACUCUAAUGUUGAAUGGAGAGUUUCAAUGCGUGAAUUGAAAAUCUAGCGAAGAUGGGUAACUUUCUGAUAGGAAAUGGAUGCAAUUUCUCGAAAUCAGCAAACGAUAAUAAGAAAUUAGGAAGAAAAACACACCAAAGCUAUUUUUAUUACAAGAUAUAUGAAAGUAAAUAGCAAGAUACAGCUGGAUCUUCAAUUGGAGAGGAAGAUCAUGCUCUCUCAAAUCCCUAACCACCAGCUAGAGCCCAAAUAACCUAAGAAUAAAUUAAAUUCAACAAACUCCGAAAACAUUAUUUGAAAUCAUCCUAUUGUUAGCCUUAAAUAGGCUCCCAUAAUUCCCUCCCAAAUCAGCCCUCUUUUCCUAAAUAAUUCCCUUUUAGAUUUGAAUUCAAAUUAGUUUUUUUUUUCCUAAUUAAUUCUAUCUCAGUUGUGAUUAAAAUUUUUCUAAACAAUCCCCCAUUAAUUCCCCCUGCUUUUCUCUAAAUAAUUCCCUCUUAAAUUUUGAAUUCAAUGUAGAUAUCUUGCUUAAAUAAUUCUCUUUGAUUAAGAACCUUCUUAAACAGCUCUCUCUUGACUAAGAAACUUCGUGAUUCCCUCCAAAUCAAAUCGGCCGGUCAAUCACUUUCAUCUAGGUGGGAGGUGAGGAAAGUUUAAAGUGGGCAUUGUUCAAUCGAAUUUACUUUGUAUGGACUUCACAGUUCUUCAAAAACAAGAGGUCCAAUGUCUUCUUUUAGGAUUUUUUUUUGAAGUUAAUGAUGAAUGAUGAUGAAGAACUGUCUCAUGUCGACAAUAUUGAGUGUUAUAAUGUUGAUGGCGAUGACAAUGAGAGGGGUUGAUGAUUUAUUAGCCUUAGGGAAAGUUUGGCCAAGGUUCCAAAUAAAUGUGAAAGGUGUAUAAAAAAUAAAAGAACACUUGUAAUGGUUGUAGUGGUUGCAAAUGGUAAGAUGUAAAUUUGAGCUCCGUAGCUUAUGGUGCUGUGACUAUGAGGUGGAAGGGCUUGUAAGAUUUAGAUUGAGUGAACUAGCUUUCUAGCAACAAAUGGAGGCUGAGAGCUUCUAAAUGGAAUCAAAAUCUCUGCGUUUGGGUUUAUUAAAGGCUUCGGGAAUUGGGAUGAUUUUAUGUAUGUGGAUGCUAUUAUGAUGAUCAUAUUGUGGGAGCGGAGUUUGAG